rnacentral:rRNA from 1 species
UACGUAGGGGGCUAGCGUUGCUCGGAAUUACUGGGCGUAAAGCGCACGUAGGCGGAUUCUUAAGUCAGGGGUGAAAUCCUGGAGCUCAACUCCAGAACUGCCUUUGAUACUGGGAGUCUCGAGUCCGGGAGAGGUGAGUGGAACUGCGAGUGUAGAGGUGAAAUUCGUAGAUAUUCGCAAGAACACCAGUGGCGAAGGCGGCUCACUGGCCCGGUACUGACGCUGAGGUGCGAAAGCGUGGGGAGCAAACAGG